rnacentral:rRNA from 1 species
CCCUUAAGAAAGGAAUAACAGUUGGAAACGACUGCUAAUGCCCUAUAUGCCUUUAAUACAUAAGUAUGCAAGGGAAACGCUUUAGUGCUUAAGGAUGGGUCUGUAUGGUAUCAGCUUGUUGGUGAGGUAAUGGCUCACCAAGGCUAUGACGCCUAACUGGUUUGAGAGGAUGAUCAGUCACACUGGAACUGAGACACGGUCCAGACUCCUACGGGAGGCAGCAGUGGGGAAUAUUGCACAAUGGACGAAAGUCUGAUGCAGCAACGCCGCGUGGAGGAUGACACAUUUCGGUGCGUAAACUCCUUUUAUAUAGGAAGAUAAUGACGGUACUAUAUGAAUAAGCACCGGCUAACUCCGUGCCAGCAGCCGCGGUAAUACGGAGGGUGCAAGCGUUACUCGGAAUCACUGGGCGUAAAGAGCGUGUAGGCGGGUAUAUAAGUCAGAAGUGAAAUCCAAUAGCUCAACUAUUGAACUGCUUUUGAAACUGUAUACCUAGAAUGUGGGAGAGGUAGAUGGAAUUUCUGGUGUAGGGGUAAAAUCCGUAGAGAUCAGAAGGAAUACCGAUUGCGAAGGCGAUCUACUGGAACAUUAUUGACGCUGAGACGCGAAAGCGUGGGGAGCAAACAGG